GGCUCAGAUUGAACGCUGGCGGCAGGCCUAACACAUGCAAGUCGAGCGGUAGAGAGGUGCUUGCAUCUCUUGAGAGCGGCGGACGGGUGAGUAAUGCCUAGGAAUCUGCCUGGUGUGGGGGAUAACGUUCGGAAACGGACGCUAAUACCGCAUACGUCCUACGGGAGAAAGCGGGGGGAUCUUCGGACCUCGCGCCAUUAGAUGAGCCUAGGUCGGAUUAGCUAGUUGGUGAGGUAAUGGCUCACCAAGGCGACGAUCCGUAACUGGUCUGAGAGGAUGAUCAGUCACACUGGAACUGAGACACGGUCCAGACUCCUACGGGAGGCAGCAGUGGGGAAUAUUGGACAAUGGGCGAAAGCCUGAUCCAGCCAUGCCGCGUGUGUGAAGAAGGUCUUCGGAUUGUAAAGCACUUUAAGUUGGGAGGAAGGUAGUAACCUAAUACGUUGCUACUUUGACGUUACCGACAGAAUAAGCACCGGCUAACUUCGUG
rnacentral:rRNA from 1 species